rnacentral:rRNA from 1 species
CAAGACCUUGCGCUAAAGGAGCGGCCGAUGUCUGAUUAGUUAGUUGGUGGGGUAAAGGCCUACCAAGGCAACGAUCAGUAGCUGGUCUGAGAGGACGAUCAGCCACACUGGGACUGAGACACGGCCCAGACUCCUACGGGAGGCAGCAGUGGGGAAUUUUGGACAAUGGGCGAAAGCCUGAUCCAGCCAUGCCGCGUGAAUGAAGAAGGCCUUCGGGUUGUAAAGUUCUUUUAGUUGGAAAGAAAAAAUUAUGAUGAAUAAUCAUAAUUCAUGACGGUACCGACAGAAAAAGCACCGGCUAACUACGUGCCAGCAGCCGCGGUAAUACGUAGGGUGCAAGCGUUAAUCGGAAUUACUGGGCGUAAAGGGUGUGCAGGCGGCCUUGUAAGUCAGAUGUGAAAGCCCCGGGCUUAACCUGGGAAUU